rnacentral:ribozyme from 1 species
AUAAAAAAAAAAAAAAAAAAAAAAAAAAAA